rnacentral:rRNA from 1 species
AUCGAACGCUGGCGCAAGGACUUACACAUGCAAGUCGAGCGGAGUCUUCUGGCUUAUUGGCGGACUGAAGAGUAACACGUGGGAACUUGCGCAUUGCUUCGGAACAAAUAAGGGAAAAUUGGGCUUAUAACUGAUAUUUCCUUGGGGUGAAAGAUUGAAUGGGAUUGGAACGGCCCGAGUCUGAUUAGUUUGUUAGUGAGGUAACGGCCCACCAAGGGGACGAGCAGGAGGUGGGCUGAGAGGAUGAUUAGCCACACUGGGACUGAGACACGGCCCAGACUCCUACUGGAGGCAGCAGUGGGGAAUCGUGCGCAAUGGGCGAAAGCCUGACGCAGCCAUGCCGUGGGAAUUAUGAAGGUUUUAGGAUUGUAAAAUUCUUUCAGCGGGGACGAUAAUGACGGUACCCGCAGAAGGAACGCCGACGAACUUCGUG